rnacentral:rRNA from 1 species
UACGUAGGGUGCAAGCGUUGUCCGGAUUUAUUGGGUUUAAAGGGUGCGUAGGCGGCCCUGUAAGUCAGUGGUGAAAUACUCUAGCUUAACUAGAGGGGUGCCAAUGAUACUGCAGGGCUUGAGUACAGAUGAGGUAGGCGGAAUUGACGGUGUAGCGGUGAAAUGCAUAGAUAUCGUCAAGAACACCGAUAGUGAAGACAGCUAACUAAACUUUUACUGACGCUGAGGCACGAAAGUGUGGGGAUCAAACAGG